AGAGUUUGAUCCUGGCUCAGGACGAACGCUGGCGGCGUGCCUAACACAUGCAAGUCGAACGGAAGUUAGAGCUUCGGUUUUAACUUUAGUGGCGAACGGGUGAGUAACGCGUGAGGAACCUGCCUUUCAGUGGGGGACAACAGUUGGAAACGACUGCUAAUACCGCAUGACACUUUUGGGAGACAUCUCCUGGAAGUCAAAGCUUUAUGUGCUGAAAGAUGGCCUCGCGUCUGAUUAGCUAGUUGGUGAGGUAACGGCUCACCAAGGCGACGAUCAGUAGCCGGUCUGAGAGGAUGAACGGCCACAUUGGGACUGAGAUACGGCCCAGACUCCUACGGGAGGCAGCAGUGGGGAAUAUUGGGCAAUGGGGGAAACCCUGACCCAGCAACGCCGCGUGAAGGAAGAAGGCCUUCGGGUUGUAAACUUCUUUUACCAGGGACGAAGGACGUGACGGUACCUGGAGAAAAAGCCACGGCUAACUACGUGCCAGCAGCCGCGGUAAUACGUAGGUGGCAAGCGUUGUCCGGAUUUACUGGGUGUAAAGGGCGUGUAGGCGGAGAUGCAAGUUGGGAGUGAAAUCCAUGGGCUCAACCCAUGAACUGCUCUCAAAACUGUAUCCCUUGAGUAUCGGAGAGGCAAGCGGAAUUCCUAGUGUAGCGGUGAAAUGCGUAGAUAUUAGGAGGAACACCAGUGGCGAAGGCGGCUUGCUGGACGACAACUGACGCUGAGGCGCGAAAGCGUGGGGAGCAAACAGGAUUAGAUACCCUGGUAGUCCACGCUGUAAACGAUGAAUACUAGGUGUGGGGGGACUGACCCCUUCCGUGCCGCAGUUAACACAAUAAGUAUUCCACCUGGGGAGUACGACCGCAAGGUUGAAACUCAAAGGAAUUGACGGGGGCCC
rnacentral:rRNA from 1 species